rnacentral:rRNA from 1 species
UACGAAGGGUGCAAACGUUGCUCGGAAUUAUUGGGCGUAAAGCGCACGUAGGCGGCUUAGCAAGUCGGAUGUGAAAUCCCUCGGCUCAACCAAGGAAGUGCAUCCGAAACUGCUGAGCUUGAGUACGAAAGAGGAUCGCGGAAUUCCCGGUGUAGAGGUGAAAUUCGUAGAUAUCGGGAGGAACACCUGUGGCGAAGGCGGCCACCUGGACUGUGACUGACACUGAGACGCGAAAGCGUGGGUAGCAAACAGG